rnacentral:rRNA from 1 species
UACAGAGGUCUCAAGCGUUGUUCGGAAUCACUGGGCGUAAAGCGUACGCAGGCUGUUCGUUAAGUCGGGUGUGAAAUCCCGGGGCUCAACCCCGGAAUUGCGCCCGAAACUGGCGAGCUUGAGUGCGGGAGAGGGAAGCGGAAUUCCUGGUGUAGAGGUGAAAUUCGUAGAUAUCAGGAGGAACACCGGUGGCGAAAGCGGCCUCCUGGCCCGACACUGACGCUCAUGUACGAAAGCGUGGGGAGCAAACAGG